GACGAACGCUGGCGGCGUGCUUAACACAUGCAAGUCGAACGGAAAGGCCCUGCUUGCAGGGUACUCGAGUGGCGAACGGGUGAGUAACACGUGGGUUAUCUGCCCUGCACUUCGGGAUAAGCCUGGGAAACUGGGUCUAAUACCGGAUAGGAGCCAUUUUUAGUGUGAUGGUUGGAAAGUUUUUUCGGUGUAGGAUGAGCUCGCGGCCUAUCAGCUUGUUGGUGGGGUAAUGGCCUACCAAGGCGGCGACGGGUAGCCGGCCUGAGAGGGUGGACAGCCACAUUGGGACUGAGAUACGGCCCAGACUCCUACGGGAGGCAGCAGGGGGGAAUAUUGCACAAUGGGCGCAAGCCUGAUGCAGCGACGCCGCGUGGGGGAUGACGGCCUUCGGGUUGUAAACUCCUUUCGCUAGGGACGAAGCUUUUUGUGACGGUACCUAGAUAAGAAGCACCGGCUAACUACGUG
rnacentral:rRNA from 1 species